GCCGUGGGCCGUGACUGGCGCUGAGGUGGAGCACCACCGGGGAGCGGCCCCUGACGAAGUCGACGCUGAGUCGAUGCCGUGCGCCUGGGCGAACCGG
rfam:Streptomyces regalis strain NRRL 3151 P010contig9.1, whole genome shotgun sequence.